rnacentral:rRNA from 1 species
UACGAAGGGGGCUAGCGUUGUUCGGAAUCACUGGGCGUAAAGCGCAUGCAGGCGGAUUGUUAAGUCGGGGGUGAAAUCCUGGAGCUCAACUCCAGAACUGCCUUCGAUACUGGCGAUCUAGAGUCCGGGAGAGGUGAGUGGAACUGCGAGUGUAGAGGUGAAAUUCGUAGAUAUUCGCAAGAACACCAGUGGCGAAGGCGGCUCACUGGCCCGGUACUGACGCUGAGGUGCGAAAGCGUGGGGAGCAAACAGG